UGGGGCGUAGCCGAGUGGUAAGGCGGCGGGCUUUGAUCCCGUAUAGUCGAAGGUUCGAUCCCUUUCGUCCCAG
rnacentral:tRNA from 2 species